GUUAGCAAAUCUAUGAAUAAAUAAAUUCAGAAUUAAAUUUAUGAAAUUUUUUUGUUAGAAUGUUUGAGGCAAACAGAAGAUGCAUGGAAUCCCCCCUGAACAUGGAGACAGUACAGUUACAUGCAUUAUCAAAGCUGGAUUAUUAGGUGCUACAUUUAAACUCAACCAUAAAUAUUUGCUUAUUUUUAAGGUAUACAGAGAUCCCUUGAAGAAAUAAAGAACAGCUUUUAAUUAGAGAAUUAUCUUUUAAUACAGUUACAAAGCUGUCAAACCAUGAUGAGUAAAAAAGAUGCAAGGAAAUUUGUUUACAGCCUUCCAGAUUCAGCAAAUAAUGCUAGAGAAUGAGUUAAUGCAAGACCUAAUGAUGGAAAUGUACCAGGUUCCAUGGCUAGGAGAAUGUCAGAAAGCCUCAUCAUUAGUGUGUUACAGAGGCAGUAAAGGAAAUCGAUGGUGAUGUUUCUUGUGUUGGUGAUGAGAAUCAGAGUGAGGAGGAAAUGGAUGACAGUCAAGACAAUCAUGAUUUCCACACUUUAACUCCAGGAAAAGGAAGCCACUUUCUGAUCACAGAUCCACAACAGAAAUGGAAGAUUCUGCAUGCAAGUGACAGAAGAUACAAAAAAUCCCAUGGACAUCAUGUGAAAUGAUUUUAAUCAAAAAACAUUUCAGAAAAGAUUACAAAAAUGUAAUAAGAACUUAGAUAAGUGUUAAAGACCAAGUAUAUUAUCUAGUUUAAAA